rnacentral:rRNA from 1 species
GAGUUUGAUCAUGGCUCAGAACGAACGCUGGCGGCAUGCCUAACACAUGCAAGUCGAACGCCCCGCAAGGGAGGUGGCGGACGGGUGGAGUAACGCGUGGGAACCGUGCCCAACUGGUCUGGAAUAAACCGCGGGAAACUAGCGGCUAAUAACCGGAUAAGCCCGACGAGGGGAAAGGAUUUAUCGCCGAUGGAGGGGCCCGGCGUCCGAUUAGGUAGUUGGUGAGGUAACGGCUCACCAAGCCGACGAUCGGUAGCUGGUCUGAGAGGAUGAUCAGCCACACUGGGACGUGAGAUACGGCCCACGACUCCUACGGGAGGCAGCAGUGGGGAAGUAUUGGACAAUGGGGGCGAACCCUGAUCCAGCAAUGCCGCGUGAGUGAUGAAGGCCUUAGGGUUGUAAAGACUCUUUUGGUCGGGGACGGAUGAUGACGGUACCCGCCAGAAUAAGCCCCGGCUAACUUCGU